UACGUAGGGUGCAAGCGUUAAUCGGAAUUACUGGGCGUAAAGGGCGUGUAGGCGGUUUGUUAAGUCUGGCGUGAAAGCUCUCGGCUAAACCGGGAGAGGUCGUUGGAUACUGGCAAACUAGAGGACGGUAGAGGCGUGUGGAAUUCCGGGUGUAGUGGUGAAAUGCGUAGAGAUCCGGAGGAACACCAGUGGCGAAGGCGACACGCUGGGCCGUACCUGACGCUAAAGCGCGACAGCAUGGGGAGCAAACGGG
rnacentral:rRNA from 1 species